AGCUCAUUUCAGUAAAUAUGAACAGGCCCUAAGGCAUGCUACUUUGGUUUUCUUUGGAUCAGAUCAGUCCUUUUCUCUACUCAGUUGCUUUCUCUCUCCUCUCCUUACUCCAUGUUCAUUGAUCCUCCAUGGAAAUAGCUUUUGAGCAACUUCUGAGCUUUUUCCGUUCCUCCAUUAAAGCAAUUUCUGAGGUUUCCCAUUUAUUGAAGUAGCUUACAAGGUAUCAAGUUUCAGGAAUUAUGGCUCGAGUAUAAGUCAAUAAUCUAGAUCUUCAAGUCACUGGACGCAAGCUUGAGUUAAUGGUGUCCUUGGCAGGUCCUGAUUUUUGAAAAACUGUCUUCUAGGAUUUUUUUUAAUAGUUUUUGAGUGAAUUUUGAACUAGGUUAGUGUUUAUUUGGAUGUGAUUCUAGAAUUGAGAUUUUAAGUUCUGGUUGCUACUGAAUUAAACAUAUGAUUUUUUAUUUUUUUUUGGAAUUGUUGGGAUCUGAGUUAUCUGGAUAUUGUUUUGUGUACUAAAACGUGUUUUGACUUUGGUUGUGUGUUGAUUUAUUGCUGAAUUAGUGUAGAUUUAUGCAUUUUCUAUGAAUUAUUGAUUAUGAUAUGGGUGGAAAUUUUGGAGAAUGUAGAAUGGGGGUGAUGCGUUGCUUAUUAGGGGUUUGGGGUUAGAAAUAGGAUGUUUUUAUUGUUUAAUUAUGUGGGAUUUUCACAUUUUAAUUUUUUGAUUGAAAUAGUGGUUCAUGUCUUCUGCAUCAUGCUGCAGAAACGUAAUGCAUGUCAAAUUUUGUGUGGAGAUGUCUUAAAUGGUACUGCCUCAUUUCUUCUGCCUGUGAUUUUCUGUUUAUAUUAGUUUAUUCUUUCAAUGUCAUUAGUUUUGUCUAUUUUUGUUGGAUCUGAUUUUGUUUUAACUUAGAUUUUGUUUUUGUUGGAUCUAAUUAGUUUAAUCUUCGUCAAUGAUAUGUUUUCAAAAAUUGACAGUCUAAGCUUCAAUAGCAUUGUUUAUGGGUUUGUUAAGAGCUUUAAACUCAGAUCUUUAGGUAGUUUCGGCUUCAUAAUUUGUUGCUUCCUAAUUUUUCUCAAUGUUUUCUAUUGUUUUAUUUUCCAAUUACAUAUUGCUAAUUAUAGCAUAAAAAUCCAAUAUUAUUGGUGGGUGUUAGUUGCAAAUAGAGUGGUGGUUGUGGGGUAAAGAUUGAUUUUGAUUUAAAAAUUGAGAUAUUUAGGGGUAGAUAUUUAGGGAUUAUAGAACUUCACUAAAGUUAGCAUCUUUAUUAUGGAGAUGAGACUAUUGGAAGAGUCGAUAACUCUCAUCGUUACCAUCCUGGAAUUGUUGCUCUUCGGUUAAUUUUCAGAUUUUUUUUUAAAGCUCCACAUAUCUAUAAUUUAUGCCAUGAUUUUAAUAAAUAUGGGAAGAUUGAACGCUUGCAGUUAUUAAACAGAUUUUUGUAUGAGUAUAUGAAAAAGAGGGUUCCUUAUUCAUUUGGCAUAGAGUAAAGAACCCUCUUUUACUUAUAAUUAAGCUUAUUUUGCUGAAAUUCUUCUCAUGUAAAAAUCCCAUUUUGACUGU